AGACUCCUACGGGAGGCAGCAGUGGGGAAUAUUGCGCAAUGGGGGAAACCCUGACGCAGCAACGCCGCGUGUGGGAUGACAGCUUUCGGGUUGUAAACCACUUUCAGUGACGACGAAAAUGACGGUAGUCACAGAAGAAGGUCCGGCCAACUACGUGCCAGCAGCCGCGGUAACACGUAGGGGGCGAGCGUUGUCCGGAAUUACUGGGCGUAAAGAGCUCGUAGGUGGUUUGGUAAGUCAGAUGUGAAAACUCAGGGCUCAACCCUGAGACGCCAUCUGAAACUGCCAUGACUUGAGUUCGGUAGAGGAAUGUGGAAUUCCUGGUGUAGCGGUGAAAUGCGCAGAUAUCAGGAGGAACACCAACGGCGAAGGCAGCAUUCUGGGCCGAUACUGACACUGAGGAGCGAAAGCAUGGGGAGCAAACAGGAUUAGAUACCCUGGUAGUCCAUGCCGUAAACGCUGGGCACUAGGUGUGGGACCAUAUCAACGGGUUCCGUGCCGUAGCUAACGCAUUAAGUGCCCCGCCUGGGGAGUACGGCCGCAAGGCUAAAACUCAAAGGAAUUGACGGGGGCCCGCACAAGAGAU
rnacentral:rRNA from 1 species